rnacentral:lncRNA from 1 species
ACCCCCCAGGAGGAACAGUUCAGGCCGGGCUUCGGUGUGUGUCCCUAUUUCUGCACCCCCACCCCCCCUGGGGGGGUUCCCCAGCCCCGGUGGCAUCGUGUUGGGGGGGACCGGCUGCCCCCCAGCCCCUCACCCCAGAGCCCGGGAUGCAGCAUCCCAGGGGCAGCCAGGGAAAUCUGCCCCCCGGCACCCCAGAGCAGCCGGGCUGGGAGCUGGGCACGCGUGUGUGUGUGUGUGUAUGUGUGUGUGUGCACCCACGUGUCGCAUCCCGGUCCCAGGAGGUCGGAUGGAUCCGAAGGUGCUGCCGCUGCCUCCCUGCCCCUCUCCGCUGCCCGGCGUCUGCCCCUUGAAGCUGCUGGUAAAAUAGAACUAACCACAAAUACGGUUCUUUCCUUCCCAGUUUGGGGGGUUAUUUCACGUUUCUGGCCAGGGGCAGCCCCCAUCGAAUUCCGAUUGCAGGGAAAUUCUGCAGCUUCCCCAGGGCCGAGCCUGGACCAAAACAAAAAUGCAAAAUACCACCUAAAAAAGUUGGUUUUUUUCAUUGCCUGGCCAGAGCCACAUCCCUGCGUGGGUGACCCCAUGCCGGGGGUCAGUGCCAGGAGGGGGAGACCCCCAUUUCCAUGGGGCGCUGUGUGUCCCGCACCCGGUCUGUGGGUGCUGUGCCAAAGGAAGGUGGCAGCUUUGCCCGCGGGUGCUCAGGGGGCUCCCCAAGGACCCCCCACAGUCGGGGUGUCCCCAGCAUCAGAGCCCAGCACUUGGGGGAACAGGGGGGUCGGGGACACCCUGGGAUGGGGUACCUGUAGUGCGGGGGCAUCCCCGGGAGCCGUCGGCAAACCCGCAGCGGGGCCGGGGCUCCGGGAGAGCCCUGAGAACUGGAACCAUGUCCUGUCAUCUGCCAAAUACCGAAUAAACUCAUCUCAUCCCUCGGGGGUGUCUCGUCCCUUCGCCCUGUGGAAAAAAAAAAAUAAAAAUGGCAGAGAUGCUCAUGGAAAAUGGGGGGGAAAUACCAUUUUUUUAACGGGAAGGGGCGCAGCGUGGGAGCAG